AGGAGCAUUGGUUAGCACUGCAGAGACCCGAAUCUGAAAAUUGCAAAAAGUCAGAGGUAUCACAUCACAUGCAGGCCUUUCAAAGGUGAGAGAACUCGAUGCAUGUAAGAUAAACGAAUUUUUCUCAAGUUUAUUUACCAGGGCAUUCAUGGCACCGGCCUUCUUAUGAUGUGAAAAACCAGGUCUCUUCUCACGAGAUACAUAUACAAGGCGAGGGAGCUCAUUUCCUUCAGUGUCAUGGCCUCCACUGUGACCAAGAAAUACUUGAAUCAUACCAGGGUGAUCCCUGGUAUUGUUUCCAGGCCAUGGUGUCCCAUCUUGCAUGAUCCAC
rnacentral:lncRNA from 1 species